rnacentral:rRNA from 2 species
AGCGAACGCUGGCGGCAGGCUUAACACAUGCAAGUCGAACGGGCACUUCGGUGCUAGUGGCAGACGGGUGAGUAACGCGUGGGAACGUGCCUUUCGGUUCGGAAUAAUCCAGGGAAACUUGGACUAAUACCGGAUACGCCCUUCGGGGGAAAGAUUUAUCGCCGAAAGAUCGGCCCGCGUCUGAUUAGCUAGUUGGUGAGGUAAAGGCUCACCAAGGCGACGAUCAGUAGCUGGUCUGAGAGGAUGAUCAGCCACAUUGGGACUGAGACACGGCCCAAACUCCUACGGGAGGCAGCAGUGGGGAAUAUUGGACAAUGGGCGCAAGCCUGAUCCAGCCAUGCCGCGUGAGUGAUGAAGGCCUUAGGGUUGUAAAGCUCUUUUGUCCGGGAAGAUAAUGACUGUACCGGAAGAAUAAGCCCCGGCUAACUUCGUG